CCCAGACUCCUACGGGAGGCAGCAGUGAGGAAUAUUGGUCAAUGGUCGGGAGACUGAACCAGCCAAGCCGCGUGAGGGAUGAAGGUACAGAGUAUCGUAAACCUCUUUUGUCAGGGAACAAAGGCGGGGACGUGUCCCCGGAUGAGUGUACCUGAAGAAAAAGCAUCGGCUAACUCCGUGCCAGCAGCCGCGGUAAUACGGAGGAUGCGAGCGUUAUCCGGAUUUAUUGGGUUUAAAGGGUGCGUAGGCGGGAUGCCAAGUCAGCGGUAAAAAUGCGGUGCUCAACGCCGUCGAGCCGUUGAAACUGGCGUUCUUGAGUGGGCGAGAAGUAUGCGGAAUGCGUGGUGUAGCGGUGAAAUGCAUAGAUAUCACGCAGAACUCCGAUUGCGAAGGCAGCAUACCGGCGCCCUACUGACGCUGAGGCACGAAAGCGUGGGUAUCGAACAGGAUUAGAUACCCUUGUA
rnacentral:rRNA from 1 species